AGCACGGGGCAACCUGGUGGCGAGUGGCGAACGGGUGAGUAACACGUAGGUGAACUGCCCUUGGGCUGGGGAUAGCCUGUGGAAACACAGGGUAAUACCGAAUGAGGUCACAGGACUUUGGUUUUGUGAUGAAAGGGGCUAAGGCCUCGCCUGAGGAUGUGCCUGCGGCUGAUUAGCUAGUUGGUGGGGUAAAGGCUCACCAAGGCGACGAUCAGUAGCCGGCCUGAGAGGGUGGACGGCCACACUGGGACUGAGAUACGGCCCAGACUCCUACGGGAGGCAGCAGCUAAGAAUCUUCCGCAAUGGACGAAAGUCUGACGGAGCGACGUCGCGUGGGUGAUGAAGGCGGAAACGUUGUAAAGCCCUUUUAUGGACGAGGAAUAAGCUUGGUAGGGAAUGACCGAGUGAUGACGGUAGUCCAUGAAUAAGCCCCGGCUAAUUACGUGCCAGCAGCCGCGGUAACACGUAUGGGGCGAGCGUUGUUCGGAAUUAUUGGGCGUAAAGGGUAUGCAGGCGGCCAUGUAAGUCUGGUGUGUAAUCCCGCAGCUUAACUGCGGACCCGCACUGGAAACUGUGUGGCUAGAGUACAGGAAGGGGAGUUGGAAUUCCAGGUGUAGGGGUGAAAUCUGUAGAUAUCUGGAAGAACAUCAGUGGCGAAGGCGAACUCCUGGCCAUGUACUGACGCUGAGAUACGAAAGCGUGGGGAGCAAACAGGAUUAGAUACCCUGGUAGUCCACGCUGUAAACGAUGUGCACUAGGUGUUGGGGUCUUCGAUCUCAGUGCCGUAGCUAACGCGUUAAGUG
rnacentral:rRNA from 1 species